UACGUCGGGGGCAAGCGUUGUCCGGAUUUAUUGGGCGUAAAGAGCGUGUAGGCGGCUAUACAGGUCCGCUGUGAAAACUCGAGGCUCAACCUCGAGACGUCGGUGGAAACCGUAUGGCUAGAGUCCGGAAGAGGAGAGUGGAAUUCCUGGUGUAGCGGUGAAAUGCUUAGAUAUGACAUAGAACACCAAUUGCGAAGGCAGCUCGCUACACGAAUAUUGACUCUGAGGCACGAAAGCGUGGGGAUCAAACAGG
rnacentral:rRNA from 1 species